ACAUGAUGAGCUCCAAACCCACAACCAACACCCGUACAUGACCUAAUGAGGUCCAAACCCACAACCAACACCCAUACAUGACCUAAUGAGGUCCAAAACCACAACCCACACCAAAAGAUGAGCUGAUGAGGUCCAAAUGCACAACCAACUCCCGUACAUGACCUAAUGAGGNAGGUCCAAACCCACAACCAACACUUGUAGAUGACCUGAUGAAGUCCAUACCAACAACCAACACCCAUACAUGACCUAAUAAGGUCCAAACCCACAACCAACACCCAUAGAUGACCUGAUGAGGUCCAAACCCACAACAAACACCCGUACAUGACCUAAUGAGGUGGAAACCCACAACUAACACCCAUACAUGACCUAAUGAGGUGCAAACCCACAACCAACACCCGUACAUGAACUAAUAAGGUGCAAACCAACAACCAACACCCAUGCAUGACCUAAUGAGGUCCACACCCACAACCAACACUUGUAGAUGACCUGAUGAAGUCCAUACCAACAACCAACACCCAUACAUGACCUAAUAAGGUCCAAACCCACAACCAACACCCAACGAUGACCUGAUGAGGUCCAAACCCACAACAAACACCCAUACAUGACCUAAUGAGGUGGAAACCCACAAGUAACACCCGUACAUGACCUAAUGAGGUGCAAACCCACAACCAACACCCGUACAUGAACUAAUAAGGUCCAAACCCACAACCAACACCCAUACAUGACCGCUACCAACACCAGUAGAUGACCUGAUGAGGUCCAAACCCACAACCAACACUCGUAUAUGACCUAAUGAUGUCCAAACCCACACCCAACUCCCAUACAUGACCUAAUGAGGUCCAAACCCACAACCAACACCCAUACAUGACCGCUACCAACACCAGUAGAUGACCUGAUGAGGUCCAAACCCACAACCAACACUCGUAUAUGACCUAAUGAUGUCCAAACCCACACCCAACUCCCAUACAUGACCUAAUGAGGUCCAAACCCACAACCAACACCCAUACAUGACCGCUACCAACACCAGUAGAUGACCUGAUGAGGUCCAAACCCACAACCAACACUCGUAUAUGACCUAAUGAUGUCCAAACCCACACCCAACUCCCAUACAUGACCUAAUGAGGUCCAAACCCACAACCAACACCCAUACAUGACCGCUACCAACACCAGUAGAUGACCUGAUGAGGUCCAAACCCACAACCAACACUCGUAUAUGACCUAAUGAUGUCCAAACCCACACCCAACUCCCAUACAUGACCUAAUGAGGUCCAAACCCACAACCAACACCCAUACAUGACCGCUACCAACACUAGUAGAUGACCUGAUGAGGUCCAAACCCACAACCAACACUCGUAUAUGACCUAAUGAUGUCCAAACCCACAACCAACUCCCAUACAUGACCUAAUGAGGUCCAAACCCACAACCAACUCCUGUAGAUGACCUGAUGAAGUCCAACCCAACAACCAACACCGAUAGAUGGUCUAAUGAGGUCCAAACCCACAACCAACACUCGUAUAUGACCUAAUGAUGUCCAAACCCACAACCAACUCCCAUACAUGACCUAAUGAGGUCCAAACUCCCAACCAACACCAAAAGAUGACUUGAUGAGGUGCAAACCCACAACCAAUACCCGUACAUGACCUAAUGAGGUCCGAACGCACAACCAACACCCAUACAUGACCUAAUGAGGUCCAAACUCCCAACCAACACCAAAAGAUGACUUGAUGAGGUGCAAACCCACAACCAAUACCCGUACAUGACCUAAUGAGGUCCAAACCCAUAACCAACACCCAUACAUGACCUAAUAUGGUCCAAACCCACAACCAACACCCAUACAUGAUCUAAUGAGGUCCAAACCCACAACCAACACGCGUACAUGACCUAAUGAGGUCCAAACCCACAACCAACACCCAUACACGACCUAAUAAGGUCCAAACCCACAACCAACACCCAUACAUUACCUGAUGAGGUCCAAACCCACAACCAACACCAAAAUCUGACCUGAUGAGGUCCAAACCCACAACCAACACUUGCACAUGAACUAAUGAGGUCCAAACCCACAACCAACACCCAUACAUGACCUAAUGAGGUCCAAAACCACUACGAACACCCGUAGAUGACCUGAGAAGGUCCAAACCCAGAACCAACACCCGUACAUGACCUAAUGCGGUCCAAACCCACAACCAACACCCAUAUAUGACCUAAUGAGAUCCAAACCAACAACCAACACCCAUACAUGACCUAAUGAGGUCCAAACCCACAACCAACACGCGUACAUGACCUAAUGAGGUCCAAACCUCACAACCGGCACCCAUACAUGAACUAAUGAGUUCCAAACCCAAAAGUAACAUUCGUAGAUGACCUAAUGAGUUCCAAACCCACAACCAACACCCAUACAUGACCUAAUAAGGUCCAAACCCACAACCAACACCCAUACAUGACCUAACGAGCUCCAAACUAACAUUUAUACAUGACCUAAUGAGAUCCAAACCCACAACCAACACCCAUACAUGACCUAAUAAGGUCCAAACCCACUACCAACACCCAUACAUGACCUAAUGAGGUCCAAACCCACAACCAACACCAAAAGAUGACCUGAUGAGGUCCAAACCCACAACCAACACCCGUACAUGACCUAAUGAGGUCAAACCCACAACCAACAUCCAUACAUGACCUAAUCAGGUCCAUACCCACAACCAACACUCGUACAUGACCUAAUGAGGUCCAAACCCACAACCGACACCUACACAUGACCUACUGAGAUCCAAACCCACAAACGACACCCGUACAUGACCUAAUCAGGUCCAAACCCAUAACCAACUCCAGUACAUGACCUAAUGAGGACCAAACCCACAACCAACACCCAUACGAGACCUAAUGACGUCAAAACCCACAACCAACACCCAUACAUGACCUAAUGAGGUCCAAACCCAUAACCAACACCAAAUGAUGACCUGAUGAGGUCUAAACUCACAACCAACACCAACUAAUGAGGUCCAAACCCACAACCAACACCCGCACAUGACCUAAUGCGGUC
rnacentral:lncRNA from 1 species